rnacentral:rRNA from 1 species
GAUGAACGCUGGCGGCGUGCCUAAUACAUGCAAGUCGAGCGAACGGACGAGAAGCUUGCUUCUCUGAUGUUAGCGGCGGACGGGUGAGUAACACGUGGAUAACCCACCUAUAAGACUGGGAUAACUUCGGGAAACCGGAGCUAAUACCGGAUGAUAUUUUGAACCGCAUGGUUCAAAAGUGAAAGACGGUCUUGCUGUCACUUAUAGAUGGAUCCGCGCUGCAUUAGCUAGUUGGUAAGGUAACGGCUUACCAAGGCAACGAUGCAUAGCCGACCUGAGAGGGUGAUCGGCCACACUGGAACGUAGACACGGUCCAGACUCCUACGGGAGGCAGCAGUAGGGAAUCUUCCGCAAUGGGCGAAAGCCUGACGGAGCAACGCCGCGUGAGUGAUGAAGGUCUUCGGAGCGUAAAGCUCUGUUAUUAGUGAAGAACAUAUGUGUAAGUAACUGUGCACAUCUUGACGGUACCUAAUCAGGAAGCCACGGCUAACUACGUG